AGAACGAACGCUGGCGGCAGGCUUAACACAUGCAAGUCGAACGCUCGUAGCAAUACGGGAGUGGCAGACGGGUGAGUAACGCGUGGGAACAUACCCUCCGGUUCGGAAUAGCUCAGGGAAACUUGGAUUAAUACCGGAUACGGCUGAGAGGCGAAAGAUUUAUCGCCGGAGGAUUGGCCCGCGUUCGAUUAGCUUGUUGGUGAGGUAACGGCUCACCAAGGCGAUGAUCGAUAGCUGGUCUGAGAGGAUGAUCAGCCACAUUGGGACUGAGACACGGCCCAAACUCCUACGGGAGGCAGCAGUGGGAAUAUUGGACAAUGGGCGCAAGCCUGAUCCAGCCAUGCCGCGUGAGUGAUGACGGCCUUAGGGUUGUAAAGCUCUUUCGCUCGGGACGAUAAUGGCGGUACCGAGAUAAGAAGCCCCGGCUAACUUCGUGCCAGCAGCUGC
rnacentral:rRNA from 1 species